GACGAACGCUGGCGGCAUGCCUAAUACAUGCAAGUCGAGCGAACAGAUGAAGUGCUUGCACUUCUGACGUUAGCGGCGAACGGGUGAGUAACACGUAAGGAAUCUACCUAUAAGCGGGGGAUAACAUUCGGAAACGGGUGCUAAUACCGCAUAAUAUCUUCUUCCGCAUGGAAGAAGAUUGAAAGACGGCUCUGCUGUCACUUAUAGCUGACCUUGGGGUGCAUAUGUUAGUUGGUGGGGUAACGGCCUACCAAGACGAUGAUGCAUAGCCGCGCUAAGAGGGUGAUCGGCCACAUUGGGACUGAAACACGGCCCAAACUCCUACGGGAGGCAGCAGUAGGGAAACUUACGCAAUGGGCGAGAGCCGGACGGAGCAAUGCCGCGUGAGUGAAGAAGACCUUCGGGUCGUAAAACUCUGUUAUAAGAGAAGAACAAAUUGUAGAGUAACUGCUACAGUCUUGACGGUAUCUUAUCAGAAAGCCACGUCUAACUACGUGCCAGCCGCCGCCGUAA
rnacentral:rRNA from 1 species